CCUUCGUAAAUGUUCCUUUCACGUUCAGUUAGUCAUUCCGCGAUUUUAACCAUGCAUGUCAGUGACUUAACGCUUCAAUUUAACUGUAUUUUCGUAAACUAACAAUAAAUUAAACCGAUUUCACUAUUAUUUUAAUGUAUAGUUUGGUGAUUACGAUGUACGAUGUUGCAGUUGCCGAUAAAGUGUCAAGGUUUUUUGGCGGGAUAUAAAUAAAUUCGGAACAAUCAUGGGCGACGGUUUUGUUUUUUUUUAUUUCCAGUGCCUUUUUCUCGGCGCUGGUGCGUGGAUUUUUCGAUAAAAAUUGAAAGAAGAUGGCCUACUUAACUGGCAUUUUGACUGACGUACGCACGUGUUCGCGCGACGCGAGGCGAGAUCGAGUUCACGUCGAGAUGAGAUCCGAUCGACAUUGGAGCACAUGGUUGGGGAGACGUUAUGAAAAGAUUUGAUGCUCCUAAGGAAAGGAAAGGAUGAAGUCAGCCGUUCAUCGAGGGGUCCGAGACAUAAACAGAUAAACUUACUAUCAUUUAUUAUUAUAUAUUUUAUUAAUAGUAGUUUAAUUUACGGACCAAAAAUAUGGUCCACCUGAAUCUAAAAUAAUCGCUACGACAAGUUUCGUGAAGGCAAAAAGACAUUGUCGACCAAUAGCGGCGGCGAAAAUACCGUCCUAUUGUGAUAUUUUGGAUUUCACCGCGAUUUUUCGACAAUGCCUUGUCUUCAUAAGAUAAUUCGUUGAUUAAACAAACUUACACCUACUGAUGCGAGCCCUAGAACACUUUGCUCGAAAUACUCAUGGUUGUCAACUGUCAACCAGGCGUAGGUGUUAAGCCCUAAUGUGUUAAUGCAUUCUCAUACAUAAAAAAUAAUAUUAUUGUAUUGCCAAGAAACAAGCUUAUUUAAAUUUUAUAUGUUUUUUUUUACAAGCUAGCCCUUGACUACAAUCACCUGAUGGUAAGUGAUGAUGCAAUCUAAGAUGGAAGCGGGCUUACUAGUGAAAAGGCGGAUGAAAAUCCACACCCCUUUAGGUUUCUACACGACAUCGCUAAAUCGCUUUGCGGUACGUCUUUGCCGGUAGGGUGGUCACUAGCCACGGUCUAAGCCUCUCACCAGCCAGACCUGGGCCAAUUAAGAAAACCUUAAUCGGCCCUGCCGGCAAUCGAACCCAGGACCUCCGUAUUGUAAAUCCACUGCGCAUACCACUACGCCACGUAGGCCGUCAAAAAUAUAAUUUAAAUACACUAAACUUUAAAAAUAUAACGACUAGACCAGCUGGCCUAUUCACUAUUUUGGUCUUUAUUAUCAACCUAUAAAAAUAAACAUCAAAUCAAUUGAGAAAUGUCAUUUACCUACUGUAUGAUAACCACCAGUGAGCACCGGAUGACAUUUGUUACAUAGAAUUUCUUAUAUGUCAACUAGCAUACGUCAAAGAUAGUGAAUUAGCUUGCAGGGUUAGUAACAGAUUCGUUGGUUUUGUAAUAAUAAAUAAUAAAAAAAAAACUAAAAAAAAAAUAGGCAAUAAGUGUGAACACUGUUAUUUAAAGUUUUAGGUUUUUCAUUAGCAGACGCACCCGCGGUUGCACCCGUUUAUUUCCCAUUCCCGUGGAAAUGCGGGGUUAAAAUAUAGCCCAAGUAUCUCGCUGACAAUGUAGCUUUCCAUUGGUGAAGGAAUUUUGAAAUCGGUCCAACGGUUUCGGAGCUUAUUCGAACGAACGAACGAACUAGAAAUCGAAUAUUUCCUAGUUAUAAUCACACUGUUUCCCAUUACAGAUAUGCUGCCUCACGAUGAAUGGUACAAGAAGACUUCUAGAAGAACAUUAAUUAUGAGUUGUUUACUCUAGAGCAAGCAUGUCAGUUGCUUACAGAGUAAUCCACUCGUAUGUUUUACCACACAUAUGAAAAACCUGAACACCUGCGUUUCAAUGUGACGUACGUUUAGUACUGUCACUUGUCACUAGAUGGCGCUAUAGCAUGUUUGUGUACAAGGAGGUGAUAAAUUUUAAUAUUUUUUAUUUCAAAAUCAAAAUUAUAUUUAUUUCAAGUAGGCUCAGUUUAUAAGCACUUUUGAUACGUCAUUUGACUAUUUGUAAAGAUUCUACCACCGGUUCUGCCGAGAAGAAACCGGCAAGAAACUCGACAGUUGCUCUUUUUAAAAAAUCAUACGGGAUUAUAAUCAACAAUUGAAUUUUAAAUCUAUAUUGGUAAAUCAAACAAACACACGGUAAUUUGAAGUUUUAAUUUUUUUGUAGCACAUAUAUUAAUAUAUUUGUAUUUUAUGUAACUAUUAUCAAAAAACGAAUAUUUUUACAUCCGGCUCGUGAGACAAAAGCUUAGAAGCUUAACUAAAAGUGUGUAAAAUCAACUUUUAUCACCUUCUUUAUUUCAAAUAAAAACGAAGAACAGAAGAGAAGAGAAGAUAAAUGUACAGUAUCGAGCCCUUGUCAUUCUUCUUGCCCGGUGUAUUACGCUACUGGACGGAGAACUGAUAAGGGCUUGACCUGUGUCAUAUCAUCUGAAGAACAAAGAAGAAGAUUUCUAACAAUUGUUUUAACUUUUAUUUUUAUUGCUAAACAAUUUUAUAAUGUAUGUUUGUCUAUUUUGUAAUAUAUAAUAUAAUGUGUUUGUAUUUUGUGAAGUAUUUGUAUCUAUGUAUAUUACAGCCUUUCUUGAUGAGUACUGUUUACCAAUAAACAAAUUAAAAAUGAGGGUAUAAAAGACUAAUCAUUACACACCUAAUAAUAAUUAACCUGUUCUUAAAUUAAUGAAUAUAAAUUUGAUUAAUAAGCUUAGAACAAUUAGAUAUGGUUAAUAAUAUAUUUUUAUAACUUUUUAUGAACAAACCUUACAUAAUUUAAAAUAAAUAAAUUUACUACUCCUCCAGUAUGGCUUUAGUGUGUAGUAAGUCUUAAGAGCGCUUUGAAAUAUCAUUUACCCAAAUAUCAGGCUCCUAACUUUUCCAGAAUCUGAGAUCCAGGACCAUUUGUAACCACCAAAUUACAUAUUGCACACUCUUAAAUCUUAAAUAUCAUGAAUGUCUACCUAUAUAAAAUAUCGUUGGGUAGAAAACAAUGCGCACAAGACAUAUGACAACGUGUAAACAAGCAAAAUGUAUGAAUGUGGUGAAGUUGAAUUUUAUAACAAAUGUAAUUUAUAAACUUUAUUUUUAUGAACGAAAUGUUUAUAGAUACUAUACUAAUUAGUUUGUUUAGUUGUUGUACCUACUAUGUUUCUUCUUUUAGAUGUUUGUAUGGUUUUUGUAAUCUAUGGUUAUUUAGAUUAGUCUAUACUAAUAUUAUAAAGAGGUAAAGUUUGUAAGUUUGUCACAUUUUUUAAAUGGGGUAAUCUUCGGAACUACUGGUCCGAUUUUAAAAAUUCUUUCACCAGUAGAAUGCUACAUUAUCGAGGAGUGCUAUAGGCUAUAUUAUAUUUUGGUAUCAUAUAUAUUAGCCGAGUUAUCAUAGUUUUUGUCAUACAGGUCGGACUGAAAAUCCUCUUAAAUAGACUUAUUCGCUUGCGCUGCCUUAACUAUUGAGUAAAAUUGAAAAUAAUGUAUAGAGACUUUAUGUAUCUUUAAAGUUCUACAAAAAAGUCCGCGACACCAUAUAUCUAUCUUCUAUAUAUUAGCAGAUAUAGUACCUUUUGUGUUUUAAAAAUUAUUAAUUUUAUAUACUUAGGUUUACGUCAUUAUUUAUACAACUAAACUUUAAUCCUUAUUAAAAUAAAUUAUUUAAUAAUCACAAGGAUAUUAUGGAGAUAAGAGUUGCCCUUUACAGUAUGUUAAUUACUUAAAUAGUUUCGGAGAUAAUACAAAAUUUCUAAAAGACGCAGAAAUUCCGCUACAUGACGCCCGGCGCUUUCAUUUACGUAGUUCCCGUCCCGUUGUGAAUAUGGGGAUCAAACAUAGCCUAUGACAUUCGCAAAUAACGUAGCUUUCUAUUGGUAAAACAAUUUUCCAAAUCGGUCCAGUAGAUCCAGAGAUAGGGAAGUGGUAGGGUAGGGGUAGGAUAGGCGUGAGAUAGGGGUACGGGUGGGAUAGGGGUAGGAAAGG